CCAGUUUAUUUCUCAUAUACACACACCUACCGUCAUCUCUGUUGUUUCGAUGUUGAUCGUUUUGGUUCCGUUUGCUGUACAAAUAAAUCUUUGAAUGUCGUUUGCUUAGGAUACGAAAUUUACCAAAACGAAACACGGGGACUGUCACCGUGCCAGAACAUCCAAAGUAACUGACCUGCUGCUGUGUGGGAAUAAGAGAGCGAUCUGUGAUGGUUGCGUGUAGCACUAGUAGUAGUGGUUGACGUCCGGUAACGCUAAUUGAUAGUCCUGUAAACUGACAGCAUACGGAGUCCCACAGCACGCACGGUGUCCACGAAGGAAGUUGGAGCACGAGAGAGAGAAAGAGAGCGAGUGUGUGGGAGAGCGAGCGAACACGCUGGGGAGCGAGAUAAGCUACCACCCAACCAAGGGACAGGACGCAAGGCUGUCACAAGAAUAGACGGUGGAUGUUCUGAGAGUCUACGCGCGAGGUUCAUGGUUCCGGCUGGAACUGUUUUGAAAUCAGAGCAAGAAACGUGGAACAAGGAUACGGGUGUGUUAUCGUCAUCGUUGUCGUCGUCGUCGUGAUCGUUGUGUCGUUGUUGUCGUCUACGUGUUUAGUUGUUUUCAUAAGUUUGUUGUUUGUCCAGAAAGAACUUACGCUACAAAGCUCACAGCUUGGGGUAUUCCAAAACACGAAGGAAGCAAAUAGUUUUGGAAGACAAAACUCUAGGGCGAUCGAAAACAGAGAAGAGGAAACUCUUCGAGACGGGAUAAACAACUGGAAGCGUAGAAAGAAUUUAAGUGUUUACAAGAGAAAUGAGCAAAAUAUUACAGGGAUCUACUUUACGAGUUAAAGUUUAAGUUACGAGAAAAAAAAUCAACAAAAUCUUGGAUCAAAAACGAAAAGAAUAUCAACUUUAGAGUAAAUGAGAGGUGGAGGCAAAAUUGCAACCAAAUCACCAGGAGAGGACAUCGACACGAAACUUUGUUGUUAUCUAGUGUAUUAUCGAUAAACUCUGAUGAGGCCAGUGUAUGUAAGCUGAAGUGAGCGUGAGUGACAUUUCGAUAAUUGAAAAUCCGGAGCAUCCGAACCGGCGUGUGCAUUCAGUGAAACUGUUGGAAAGCAUCUGAUAGUGCAUCUGCUAGCGUAGGCUGUACGAAUCAUCGAGCGGCUUUGGAUCUGCUCUCACCGCAGAUCGUAGUGACGGCACAGGGAAGGCGAGGAUGCAACUACAGCAGCUAGCGUUGCAUGGGUUGCACAUCGUCCUAGAGCGGUAGUCAACAAUCAGCCUCGACAGUCGGUAGAGCGUGAGCGUGUGUCGGGCAUACAUAUAACAUUGCAUCGACUUGGCCGUCUGUGUCACGCAAGCAAGCUCGCACGCACGUCGUCGUCAUUGUUGUGUUUUUCCGUUCCCAGUGUGGUUUACCGGUAUUCGGUUUCGAGCGUUGUGUAUUUGUUUAUAACCCGUACUCGUGUGCUCAGUUUCGGGGACUUUGACUGGACUCGCAGAACAAAACCCAAACCAAAUAUCAACGUAAACCGAGCUCAAGCCAAAUCAACAACAGCAAUCGCUGCAGCCACAACAAAAAAUCAAGAAAUCACAUCAAAAAGUGCCUAACCACAAGUUCUCUGUUCUCGGUGUUGAUACGUGUUGAACUCUUCAGUUCCCCAUAGCUCGACAAUUGCCGGCAUCCAUCUGAGAUUAGCACUCGAGCAAAACAAACUAUAUCAAAUCGUACUUGUUAUCACUGACUGUUAUCCUUCCAAAGGACAUCGCAAAAUUAUAUCACGCACGCACGACCUUCUGACUGAUCCGGCUGGCCGCUAGUCGGUGGCUUCCAAAGCCUUUCGAAAGGACUGAAUCACUCGAUACAAAUCAUCAUCCCGUGCCUAGCCGGGAGAAACCCCACAAACGUACGUACGGACGGCGGGAAAUCUUAAAGAGUCUUAAAGAGACGCCGAGUGGGAAGUUUAAAUGUGAAAAUUGAUUUCCCCGUCUUGUUUUCUUAAUUUCGUGUGCACUGUAGGGAAGAGCUUGGCGGAAGGUGCAAAUUCCUGGCAAAUUUGUGACCCAAAACGAAGAAACAGCAGCAGAGGAGAACAGUGGCAGCUGAAGCAGAAAUACAAAUUUAAUUUAAAGUUUACGUGUUGAGAGCGAGCGGACGGACAGUAGUCGGAAAGUUUUCGGCCGCUUCCGGGCCAUUGGCCAUAAGACGGGAGGAAGAAAAUUGCAGAAAAAUCCGAAAUAAAGUGGAAAAAGAUUGAGUUGGUUUCCAGCCGCGAGGGAGUAGAUUGAGUGAUCCCGACGAGAGGCACGUGGAAUCGAAUUCCGCUUCGCUCGGUGAAAGUUUUAUUGUUUUCCUCAUCUAUCAGGAAAACGGAUCCGGACGGACCGAAGCCGAAGAUUUGGACCUGACCUGGCACUGACCGGUGGUGUUGGAAUUUUUAUGAUAGAUUUAGGUUUUCCUCCUUCCAGCUCAAGUGGUACUGUUGUUUGAAGAAUUCGAACGAACGGCCAAGAAAACAGGAAGUGUGUGAUAUAGUGCGAUUGUGAUAGCAUUUAUUGGCCACGUCCAGACCGAAAUUGAAAUUUCCGCUUUAAUUUCGAACACGCUCCUAAGGGCAAAGGCCGGCAGAGUAAUAUCCGAAAAUCGUGCUCUGGCGUAAUAAUUUCUAAUAAUAGUUGCAAUAACAAUAUCAUCUGAGAAAGGCGAGAAACACCUCCGGACUGGGAGUGUGUGAGUGGUUUGUGCUGUGUGCAGUUUCUCCACCGGAAAAGAGCAAAUGGUCCAGUGGUGAAAAGCAACCGAGAAAAACACACUGUGUGUCCAUAUUACUAAGUGUGGUGGAAAAUAUUAAUGAGUUUGGCAAUAUAAUAAUAAAAACAGCUCAUAAAUAAUAACGCCGAGUCGAGGUUUUGUAUUUUGAGUGUUUUCCCCCGGUCCAAAAAAAAAAGAUCGACCGAGAGUGCAUAGUAGUGGCUCUUGAAGAAAUUCGCAAAAGAGGAAGAAGAAGAAGGGGCAUAUGCGUCCUGUAGCCGAAGCAGCAGAAGAGUUUCCAAACAGGGAAGCAGUGUGAAACGAAAUUUAUAUCAAAGAAAUCACAAAUCAUAAGCGGAAAAGCGCUCCCAAGUGGCGGUGAAAGUGAAAGUCGGUACAAGUGUGGCGAAAGAAAGAAAGAGUGUGUGGGUAUGUGUGUCAUGUAUAUGUGAUUGUAGCGCUCCCCUCGAGGAAGAAUCCCACAGAAGAAGAAAAAACCAGUGCUGGUGUUUCGCAGAAGAGAUAAAAAAUAAAUGUGUAAUAAUAGUGCAAUAAUUCUCCACUCACUGUGAAUUGUAAAAUGAUUCCCCACCACUUUCAAUGAAAAGGAAACAAAAACCUUCCAGUCGGAUGCGCAGCAAGUAGUCAAGGCACAGGAACUGGACCGGAGCAAGAACACAACAACAGAAGGAAGCAUAAUCAUAGCGAGUAAAUACUAUCAGAAAAUUUGAAACAAAAAUAGCAUAAAAAGCAAGGAAAGCCUCAUUCACUUUCCGGUGAAAAGAGGAAGGUAUAAAAGCUUCACCACCCGUGUGCCUAAGUUGUUGAAGAAAAUUCUACUCGCAAAAAAAAGGAAAACAGAAAACAAACGUAGCAACACAACUGGCUCCGAAACAAGUGUGUGAGAGGAAAGUGGGAAGUGCUUUUUGUUGACCAGCAGCUAGCGGAGAAAAACACGAGGAGCUUCGUCGAUAUUUUGAACUCGACCAAAUGUUGGCCUUUCAUAACGAACAUAUAACAAGCUGUGCGUUUUUGACGUAUUUCGGUCCGGAAAACGCUAUUAACGCCCAAGGCGCGUUACAUGAAAAGCAGACUUCACCUGGGGUUUAUCUCAACCGAUUUCUUCUCUCACGCGAUGCAGAAGAGACCGUCUCUUCUACUAGCAAAAUGAAUCGGUACGUCACUUUAUUAUCAAAAGCUAGUAUUUUUCCUUCCGGUAUCGGUUCGUUCC